AGCUAGGAGCUAGCAAUGCUACGUGGAAUUGCAUGUCGAAAAUAUUUAAAAAGUCAACCUGCCAUCUCUCCUGCCCUGCUCGUCCAAGUUCCCACUCUAGUUCCAGUACUGGCAGGCUUCACCACUAUAUCCCAGCAGGGUCCUGCUUGGCAUGUUCUCCCAGGUAUCUUCUGAGAGGUUGUUCUCUCUCCACUUCUCAUUCAAGUCUGAAGAUGCUUACAGUCACCUGCAGUACUUCUAAAUCAGAUUUAUACCCCAUGGCAUAAAACAAAGCAACGUAGAAAAUCUCUGACUGCUCCAUAAUGCUGACUUCACAAAGUCCCCAGCCACCCACAGGAUCUCUCAAAGUUGUCAUCUGGAGGAUAGGGGAGCUUUGGGGAAAAAAUCAGAGCCCCUCAAUUACCAAUUCUGACAACUCUUAUUUUAGCUUGAAUCUCCCCAUGCAAAUAGACAGUUGACAUGUGAUUGGAGAAGAAAUAGAAGUAUGUUUCUAUUAAAACCAUGUUCCUUAAGUUGUCGCUCUGAAUUUAUAUCCCUCUGGCCUUUGCCAAGUUGGCUCUGGGCUAUAUUCUGUCCUGAAAUUAGAGCAUUCUUCUUGUAGCCCCAGGAGAUGCCUAAGAUCCUUGAAGAUGAAAACCAGACUCUGAACCAUAGCUUUGGGAAUUAGGGGAGUCCAAAGUGUAACUUCCCUAUGCAACAUGCUUGGGAUAACCCAGCUUUCCUUUGCACUUCUGAUUAGAGUUUUGAGAUGGAAGAGGUCACAGCUCCAAUGAUCUCAGCCGAAGAAGAUGAGGAAGAAGACCAGCACAAGUGCUACGACUCAGUGACCUCAUGGGAAACCGUGGGGAGAGAUAGCAUUCAAGAAGGAACAUGGGGAAGAGUAUCCAGAGUACAGAGUGGAAGCCUUUGCCCUCCUCUUUCAGCUCUCCAAGGAAUGUCUUCCUGCCCGGUGUCCUGGACAACUGCCUGUCUUUAGAAUUAACAAAUGCUCUGACUUGCAGAGUCUCUCUCAAAUCAGCUUUUGCUGGUAUCAGGAUUUCUCUGGAGGACUCAACAAAGUCCUCUCCAUGCCUGAGAUUCCUACAAUGAUUGAAAUUCCAUUGUUUCUUCCCCGUGGCAUCCAGCCCACUGUACGCUGUGGCAUUUGGACAGGUUCUUGCCUCGAGUUCCUGCUCUGCCUUCAUUUCACUAUACCUAGAAGCUGAAAUAAACUAUUUCCUCCACAA
rnacentral:lncRNA from 1 species